rnacentral:rRNA from 1 species
UACGGGGGGGGGCAAGCGUUGUUCGGAAUUACUGGGCGUAAAGGGCUUGUAGGCGGCCAACCAGAUGUCCGACGUGAAAUCCCCAGCUUAACCUGGGAACUGCGUCGGAUACUGGAUGGCUUGAAUUCGGGAGAGGGAUGCAGAAUUCCAGGUGUAGCGGUGAAAUGCGUAGAUAUCUGGAGGAAUACCGGUGGCGAAGGCGGGUCUCUGGGCCGAUACUGACGCUGAGGAGCGAAAGCGUGGGGAGCGAACAGG